rnacentral:misc_RNA from 1 species
GAUGAAGAACGCAGCGAAAUGCGAUAAGUAAUGUGAAUUGCAGAAUUCGGUGAAUCAUCGAGUCUUUGAACGCACAUUGCGCCCCCCGGUAUUCCGGGGGGCAUGCCUGUCCGAGCGUCAUUGCUGCCCUCAAGCACGGCUUGUGUGUUGGGCCCCGCCCCCCGGCUCCCGGGGGGCGGGCCCGAAAGGCAGCGGCGGCACCGCGUCCGGUCCUCGAGCGUAUGGGGCUUCGUCACCCGCUCCGUAGGCCCGGCCGGCGCCCGCCGGCGACCCCCCUCAAUCUUUUCAGGUUGACCUCGGAUCAGGUAGGGAUACCCGCUGAACUUAAGCAUAUCAAUAACGGAGGA